rnacentral:rRNA from 1 species
UACGUAGGUGGCAAGCGUUGUCCGGAUUUACUGGGCGUAAAGAGCGCGCAGGCGGUCGUUUAAGUCGAAUGUGAAAGCCCCCGGCUCAACUGGGGAGGGUCAUUCGAUACUGAUCGACUUGAAGGCAGGAGAGGGAAGUGGAAUUCCGGGUGUAGUGGUGAAAUGCGUAGAUAUCCGGAGGAACACCAGUGGCGAAGGCGACUUCCUGGCCUGUUCUUGACGCUGAGGCGCGAAAGCUAGGGGAGCAAACGGG